CAUUAGUACAGAUGCUGCUCCUGGUAUUCAUUACAUUUUCUCUCCUAAAAGAGACUGCUGGUGAAGAUGUCAUAAAACCAGUCUUCACAGAGAAGCAUGUUUUGGCAGGAAAAGAUGUUACACUGAUCUGCAACUACACUGGAAGUGUGCAGAAUUUACAGUGGUACCGUCAGUAUCCCGGAACCAAACCUGAGCACAUCAUUUUAUACAUUGAAACCAUCCCCAAAUCAGAGCCCGCUCUCCGUCUGACCGCUGCAGCUGAUAAAGCAGCCAAAAGUAUGAAUCUGACGAUCUCUUCUACAGAAGUGAAAGACUCUGCCGUGUACUACUGUGCCCUGCAGCCCACAGUGACAGGAAACACAACUACACUGUACAAAAACAGAGUGAGAAAGGAUAUUUAA